rnacentral:rRNA from 1 species
CGCUAGCCUCUGGCUUAACACAUGCAAGUCGAGGGGCAGCAUGAAGUUUGCUUGCAAACUUUGAUGGCGACCGGCGCACGGGUGAGUAACGCGUAUCCAACCUCCCGCAUACUCGGGGAUAGCCUUCUGAAAGGAAGAUUAAUACCCGAUGGUAUCUUAAGCGCACAUGCAAUUAAGAUUAAAGAAUUUCGGUAUGCGAUGGGGAUGCGUUCCAUUAGGUAGUAGGCGGGGUAACGGCCCACCUAGCCAUCGAUGGAUAGGGGUUCUGAGAGGAAGGUCCCCCACAUUGGAACUGAGACACGGUCCAAACCCCUACGGGAGGCAGCAGUGAGGAAUAUUGGUCAAUGGGCGCGAGCCUGAACCAGCCAAGUAGCGUGAAGGAUGACUGCCCUAUGGGUUGUAAACUUCUUUUGUCCGGGAAUAAAACCGCCUACGUGUAGGCGCUUGUAUGUACCGGUACGAAUAAGCAUCGGCUAACUCCCUGCCAGCAGCCGCGGUAAUACGGAGGAUGCGAGCGUUAUCCGGAUUUAUUGGGUUAAAAGGGAG